AUGGUCAGAGCCUCGUGCCCGCUCGGCAGCGCCCGGACGCCGAGCCCAGCGCGUCGGCCCCCUGGCGUGCGGGCGUCUCAGAGCCGCGGAGGGGCCGGCGGGACGGUUUCAGCGUGGCGGCGCUGGUGCUGGCGUUGGCCCUGGAGGACGGCCCCGAGUGGUGGCUGGCGCCUGCCUCCCGGGUGUCUCCCGGGUACAGAUGGAGUCGUCCCGCGGCCGCCGGCGGCAAGGUCGGCAGCUGCGAGGCCAAGAGAGACCCCAGGACACACACAGCUGCCUCCCGGUGCGAGAAGAAGACCCCGGCUUGAGAGUGAGAUGGCGUUUAAUGAUUGCUUCAGUUUGAACUACCCUGGCAACCCCUGCCCAGGGGACUUGAUCGAAGUGUUCCGUCCUGGCUAUCAGCACUGGGCCCUGUACUUGGGUGAUGGUUACGUUAUCAACAUAGCACCUGUAGAUGGCAUUCCUGCGUCCUUUACAAGCGCCAAGUCUGUAUUCAGCAGUAAGGCCCUGGUGAAAAUGCAGCUCUUGAAGGAUGUUGUGGGAAAUGACACAUACAGAAUAAACAAUAAAUACGAUGAAACGUACCCCCCUCUCCCUGUGGAAGAAAUCAUAAAGCGGUCAGAGUUUGUAAUUGGACAGGAGGUGGCCUAUAACUUACUUGUCAACAACUGUGAACAUUUUGUGACAUUGCUUCGUUAUGGAGAAGGAGUUUCAGAGCAGAUAAUACAACUGAACGACUCAAAGCCUAUAAAUAAAUGGCAGAACCAGAAUUCAAAGGAGAAUGGACUACCUCUUGGCCUGUGUACCUUUGACAGCCUCAUGGUGCCUACUGAGAAAUGUGCCCUGAAUCACAAAUAUGAGACAGGACAUUUUGGAGGCUAUGUGUCUGUCUCCAUUUUUAUCUUUUCAAACAGAGAGAAGGCUAAGAUUAAAUCAUUCAUCAAAUAAUGUUAAUAUUUCCAAUUCUCCCAAAGCAAAUUCUACCUGGAAUUCAUUCUUUAAGGAGGACAGAGAAAUGAAAUAGCUGUGUGGAUUUUUCAUUUACUUCAUGGAUUUGGAGUCCCAGGAACGCAGAAGCUGGGAAGAAGAGGACGCCUGAAAGGUCCGUUCUGAUGAAGUCCUAGACCUCACUAGCAACUGGGGCUGAGUGGGGUGCACAUCACUGUCUAAUGGUCUAAAAACUAGGCCUCGCCUCUGCACAAGUGAGCAAUGUAGAAACAAAAUUAUAAGGUCAUCUUUUAAAAUUCAGCUUUGAUUGAAAAGAUGUAAUAAAGAUUUGAAUGUUG